CCUACGGGAGGCAGCAGUGGGGAAUAUUGGACAAUGGGGGGAACCCUGAUCCAGCCAUGCCGCGUGUGUGAAGAAGGCCCUCGGGUUGUAAAGCACUUUCAGUGAGGAAGAACGCCUGGUGGUUAAUACCCAUCAGGAAAGACAUCACUCACAGAAGAAGCACCGGCUAACUCCGUGCCAGCAGCCGCGGUAAUACGGAGGGUGCGAGCGUUAAUCGGAAUUACUGGGCGUAAAGCGCGCGUAGGUGGCUUGAUAAGCCGGUUGUGAAAGCCCCGGGCUCAACCUGGGAACGGCAUCCGGAACUGUCAAGCUAGAGUGCAGGAGAGGAAGGUAGAAUUCCCGGUGUAGCGGUGAAAUGCGUAGAGAUAGGGAGGAAUACCAGUGGCGAAGGCGGCCUUCUGGACUGACACUGACGCUGAGGUGCGAAAGCGUGGGUAGCAAACAGGAUUAGAUACCCGUGUAGUC
rnacentral:rRNA from 1 species